GUCGGUAAUUCAUUGUUUAAUUGACACAAAAAAGCAAGGGAUCAAGCUAUUUUUGUAGUACAUUUGUCUUCCGUUAAUAUGUUUAUGAAAGGUUAUAACAAACACACUGCAUCCAACCUAAAAUCUAAACUGUUCGAUAGACGUUUAAGAUUCAUCCGAGUACUCGCGAGUACUCGAGUAUCAUGACCGAGUAUCCGAGUAUUAAAGUUCAGAUCUU
rnacentral:lncRNA from 1 species